rnacentral:rRNA from 1 species
CAGUAGCCGCGGUAAUACGGAGGGAGCUAGCGUUGUUCGGAAUCACUGGGCGUAAAGCGCACGUAGGCGGCUAUUCAAGUCAGGGGUGAAAGCCCGGGGCUCAACCCCGGAACUGCCUUUGAAACUAGAUAGCUUGAAUCUUGGAGAGGCGAGUGGAAUUCCGAGUGUAGAGGUGAAAUUCGUAGAUAUUCGGAAGAACACCAGUGGCGAAGGCGACUCGCUGGACAAGUAUUGACGCUGAGGUGCGAAAGCGUGGGGAACAAACAGGAUUAGAUACCCGGGUAGUCCCUGUCUCUUAUAC